rnacentral:rRNA from 1 species
UUUCUAGUGACUAGCGAGUUUACUUUGAAUAAAUUAGAGUGCUCAAAACAAGCGUUUGCUUGAAUCGUUGAUCAUGGAAUAAUAGAAGAGGACUUCGGUUCUAUUUAUUGGUUCAGGAACUGGAGUAAUGGUUAAGAGGGACAAUUCGGGGGCAUUCGUAUCCCUGCGCGAGAGGUGAAAUUCGUGGACCGCAGGGGGACGCCCUAAAGCGAAAGCAUUUGCCAAGAAUGUCUUCAUUAAUCAAGAACGAAAGUCAGAGGUUCGAAGGCGAUUAGAUACCGCCCUAGUUCUGACCGUAAACUAUGCCAUCUAGCGAUCCGACGGGGUAUUGUUGCGUUGUCGAGGAGCUUCCCGGAAACGAAAGUCUUUCGGUUCCUGGGGUAGUAUGGUUGCAAAGCUGAAACUUAAAGAAAUUGACGGAAUGGCACCACCAGGAGUGGAGCCUGCGGCUUAAUUUGACCCAACACGGGAAAACUCACCCGGCCCGGACACCGUAAGGAUUGACAGAUUGAAAGCUCUUUCUCGAUUUGGUGGUUGGUGGUGCAUGGCCGUUCUUAGUUGGUGGAGCGAUUUGUCUGGUUUAUUCCGAUAACGAGCGAGACUCUAGCCUGCUAAAUAGUGGCUGGAUUGAUUUUCUUCUAGAAUAUGUCCAGUCUACUUCUUAGAGGGAUAAGCGGUGUUUAGCCGCACGAGAUUGAGCGAUAACAGGUCUGUGAUGCCCUUAGAUGUUCGGGGCUGCACGCGCGCUACAAUGGAAGAAACAGCUGGCUUGUCCAUUACCGAAAGGUGUUGGUAAACCGUUGAAUAUCUUCCGUGACCGGGAUAGGGAAUUGUAAUUAUUCCCCUUAAACGAGGAAUUCCUAGUAAGUGUGAGUCAUCAGCUCACGCUGAUUACGUCCCUGCCAUUUGUACACACCGCCCGCGUAAUCGAAUUCCCGCGGCCGCCAUGGCGGCCGGAGCAUGCGACUCGCCACUU